rnacentral:lncRNA from 1 species
CGGUGGGCCAGGGACAUUGCCAGGAAGCUCCCUACUGGAACACUUCCUCACCAGACACCACCCAGGCCUGAGGGGAGGCCACCCUCAGACUUUAAAACAGGAAGGCAAAAAUAAGGUGGUUAUUGCUGUUCAUCACAAUAAACUGAAAAUAUAAGAAGAGAGGAUUCAAACAGCCCCAGUGAAAGGGAUGGAUCUUAUGUUCCUGAGGCCGCAAGCUGAGAGCUAGAGAAUUCAAGAUUCCAACAGCCUCUGCUUCAGACUGUCCUACCUACUGAGGCUUUUGGUCAAAAGAAGUCUGAUAUCAUUCAGAUUCUCCCUGUCACGAGACUGAUGCCAACUCAGUCACCUCAAGCAGAUUACUUUCAAAGAACCUACCUCUUAUUCUUGAUUAAAAAAAACAAGAGUGAGCUUGGCAGACACAGGAGAUGUUUUGAUGCUGGAGGGCCUGACACCGCAGGUGAAGAAAAAGAAGUGUGUGUGUGUUUGGGGUCACUAACAAGGUGA